UACGGAGGGUGCGAGCGUUGUUCGGAAUCACUGGGCGUAAAGCGCGUGUAGGCGGCCUGCUAAGUCUGAUGUGAAAGCCCGAGGCUCACCCUCGGAAGUGCAUUGGAAACUGGCAGACUGGAGUCCCGGAGAGGAGGGUGGAAUUCCUGGUGUAGCGGUGAAAUGCGUAGAUAUCAGGAGGAACACCAGUGGCGAAGGCGGCUCACUGGCCCGUAACUGACGCUGAGGUGCGAAAGCGUGGGGAGCAAACAGG
rnacentral:rRNA from 1 species